UACAGGGGGUGCAAACGUUGCUCGGAAUCACUGGGCGUAAAGCGCACGUAGGCGGAUCUUUAAGUCAGGGGUGAAAUCCUGGAGCUCAACUCCAGAACUGCCUUUGAUACUGGGGAUCUCGAGUCCGGAAGAGGUGAGUGGAACUCCGAGUGUAGAGGUGAAAUUCGUAGAUAUUCGGAAGAACACCAGUGGCGAAGGCGGCUCACUGGUCCGGUACUGACGCUGAGGUGCGAAAGCGUGGGGAGCAAACAGG
rnacentral:rRNA from 1 species